rnacentral:rRNA from 1 species
CAGUUGCCAGCAUGUCCUCCGGGGAUGAUGGGGACGACUGUUGGGACCGCCUCUGCUAAAGAGGAGGAAGGGAAUGGGCAACGGUAGGUCAGCAUGCCCCGAACUUAUCCGGGCUACACGCGGGCUACAAUGGUCAGGACAAUGGGUAGUCGACACCGAGAGGUGGAGGCAAUCUCCUAAACCUGUCCUUAGUUCGGAUUGUGGGCUGCAACUCGCCCACAUGAAGCUGGAAUCCGUAGUAAUCGCGUUUCAAAAUAGCGCGGUGAAUAUGUCCCUGCUCCUU